rnacentral:rRNA from 1 species
UGGGGAACCGUGCCCCACUAGUCUGGGAUACCACUUGGAAACAGGUGCUAAUACCGGAUAAGAAAGCGGAUCGCAUGAUCAGCUUUUAAAAGGCGGCGUAAGCUGUCGCUAUGGGAUGGCCCCGCGGUGCAUUAGCUAGUUGGUAAGGUAAAGGCUUACCAAGGCGAUGAUGCAUAGCCGAGUUGAGAGACUGAUCGGCCACAUUGGGACUGAGACACGGCCCAAACUCCUACGGGAGGCAGCAGCG